UCGAGGCAGGAAGGCCGAUUACGUUUGGGAUGGAUGGGAUGCUGCUCUAAUUGUGUCUAAAUGAGAGAAGGCUCACCAAGCAGUUAAUCGAGAUAUUUAUGGUACAAACGUUCCAGAAAAAGAAGAUAUAGCAAGGGUGAUGUCACUUGAAGAAUGUGAGAUCCUUCUUGGAAAGCGGAAGGAAAGUGAAAUAUCAAAGACUGAAUGGAGAGACAGUAUAACUAGAC